AGCUGUUUUUUCCUGUAACUGAAGCAAGAGACAGACUCUUCUGGUCCCAUCUUAGAAUUAAAAUUGUAAUGCAGUCCCUAUUUGCAGCUGAUUCUGGAAAAAAAUAAAUUUUUGAACAUGGGGUUGCAGUGGAGACUUUGGGAAAUUUUUCCCACCAAAAACAGAAGGAUGAAGAAGCCCACUGGAUGCUUCCUGAAAUAGGAUUUGGCUUGAUACUGGUAGCUGAUAAAAAUUAAAUCUCUACCCAUGGAAGACUACAAGACUAUGAAACCUAAAGAUUUCAUGAAACUAGUGGAAGUGAUAUUGAAGAAUUGCAAAGCCAAUUGCAAUGAAGUGACGGUAUUUGCAAGCAUGAUGGCAUGAUUGGUGCUUCAGAGAAAAUGGAAGAACCCAGGACAUAAAGUAUGAGAGGAAGUAUAAACACCCAGUGGUAUCAACGGCCUGGAUGGAAUCCCAAGGAGAACAAAGAACAGAGAUUUCUGGAAUGAUGGGAGAUGCUGAUCAGAGAGUGAACUACAAAAGAUGAAAUUACAGCAAGGACACAGAAUAAUGAUGUGUGAAAAACUGAAAGGAGCUAAAAUCUUCAUAAAUAUCAACAAUAUCAUGGUGACUAAAUCAAUAAUGGAUGUAGAGAUCCACCUGAGAUAUUGUCAAGUAAGAGAGAAAGAGCCAAUCAAUCAUUAUUGAAAGUAGAAGUGAGAAAACAGCAACACCAUAAGGUGAUGAUCAUCCAUUCAAGGCAUUUAAUUAUUUGAUAUAAUAUUUUUGAUCUGUUAUAGUCCAGAUGUGAAAAAAAUCAGUUUCUUAUUCCCAAGAGAGUGCAGAACUUAUUUGCCAAUAACAAACCUGCCAAAUUUCUGCCUCAGAGUUCUUGCCAUUUUCUUUUUCUUGGAGAGUGUCCUAUCUCCUCUGCAAUUCUGUAUCAUUCAACUUGACAAUAU